rnacentral:rRNA from 1 species
UACGUAGGUGGCAAGCGUUGUCCGGAUUUACUGGGCGUAAAGAGCGCGCAGGCGGUCGAUCAAGUCGCGUGUGAAAGCCCCCGGCUCAACUGGGGAGGGUCACGCGAUACUGAUCGACUCGAAGGCAGGAGAGGGUAGUGGAAUUCCCGGUGUAGUGGUGAAAUGCGUAGAUAUCGGGAGGAACGACCAGUGGCGAAGGCGACUACCUGGCCUGUUCUUGACGCUGAGGCGCGAAAGCUAGGGGAGCAAACGGGGAUUAAGAUGACCCGG